rnacentral:rRNA from 1 species
UCGUAGACCCGAAACCAGGUGAUCUACCCUUGGUCAGGUUGAAGUUCAGGUAACACUGAAUGGAGGACCGAACCGACUUACGUUGAAAAGUGAGCGGAUGAACUGAGGGUAGCGGAGAAAUUCCAAUCGAACCUGGAGAUAGCUGGUUCUCUCCGAAAUAGCUUUAGGGCUAGCCUCAAGUGAUGAUUAUUGGAGGUAGAGCACUGUUUGGACGAGGGGCCCCUCUCGGGUUACCGAAUUCAGACAAACUCCGAAUGCCAAUUAAUUUAACUUGGGAGUCAGAACAUGGGUGAUAAGGUCCGUGUUCGAAAGGGAAACAGCCCAGACCACCAGCUAAGGUCCCAAAAUAUAUGUUAAGUGGAAAAGGAUGUGGCGUUGCCCAGACAACUAGGAUGUUGGCUUAGAAGCAGCCAUCAUUUAAAGAGUGCGUAAUAGCUCACUAGUCGAGUGACACUGCGCCGAAAAUGUACCGGGGCUAAACAUAUUACCGAAGCUGUGGAUUGUCCUUUGGACAAUGGUAGGAGAGCGUUCUAAGGGCGUUGAAGCAUGAUCGUAAGGACAUGUGGAGCGCUUAGAAGUGAGAAUGCCGGUGUGAGUAGCGAAAGACGGGUGAGAAUCCCGUCCACCGAUUGACUAAGGUUUCCAGAGGAAGGCUCGUCCGCUCUGGGUUAGUCGGGUCCUAAGCUGAGGCCGACAGGCGUAGGCGAUGGAUAACAGGUUGAUAUUCCUGUACCACCUAUA